AGAAUCAACGCUGGCGGCGUGCCUAACACAUGCAAGUCGAACGAGAAAGUGGAGCAAUCCAUGAGUAAAGUGGCGCACGGGUGAGUAACACGUGACUAACCUACCUUCGAGUGGGGGAUAACUCCGGGAAACCGGGGCUAAUACCGCAUAACAUCCUUGGAUCGGAAGAACUGGGGAUCAAAGGAGCAAUUCGCUUGAAGAGGGAGUCGCGGCUGAUUAGCUUGUUGGCGGGGUAAUGGCCCACCAAGGCGAUGAUCGGUA
rnacentral:rRNA from 1 species